CUGGCCCUAAAGGUAGAAGACGUUCCGUAAAAGUUCGAGUAGUGUUUAUAUGUAAAAACUUGUAUUAUAUUUAUCAUAAACGUGAAAUAUUUUUUAAAAAAUUUUUAAAAUUUUUUUAUUUAUUUAAUUUUUUACAAAGGUAGGAAAAUUACUCAGAGGAGACAGGUGCAACACCUUAGCUACACAGAAAGGAACUAGGACAGCCUUUGAUGUUAGCUAGCAACAGCUAUGGCUGCUGUGAAGCCUGCAGUGUUGUUUGCAACACGGUAGUCCAAGAAACAAGUGACUUAUCAAGUCGGCAGCAUGACAUGAUUCCUGUUCCAUCAUUUCCCUCUGAUUCCUCUCAGAUAUUCAGGCAGAGAGGAUUGUGCUGAAUAAUGCAUGGCACAUCACCGCGACAGACAGUGUUGCCAUUUGAAUUAUGAACACAUCGGGGUGAGACACUAACUCGCUCUGACUAGCCUGAGGUGAAAAGAGAGAAGAAAGGCGGAAAAAAAAACCGAGUCUCAUCCUUAGCUUUUGCUGCUUCACCUUUAUUGGAUGUGAUGGAUGAGAGGAACUGUGGACAUCUUGGAUACUUUCAUGAGCCUUGUUAAAACACUGUGAAACCUGAAGGCUGGCAGCGCUGCCUGAGGAACGUGCUGCUGUCACCUCGCCUCAUAAAGCACGUAAAUGUUUCUGAUUUGCAGUCGAAUUGGACUUUUUCUCUUUUGAUAGUUUGUGGAAGUGUGUGUGCUUGUACAUGCGUGAAAGUGCAAAUGAUGGGUAUAAGGCUUCCAGUGUGCCUACCUCUUUUUGGCACUUCCUUUUUUCUUUUUUUUUUUUCUUAUAUAGCAUUAGACUCCAGCAAAAACCCAGCAUUAGCUGCCUGGAAAUUUAUUAAUACAAAAUGAAAGAACAGUCCCUCAGCUCAGUUCUACUUAUACACUUUGACUAUAAGUUACAGUAUAUCAUACAAUUCGAUAAUGAAAACUUGACACGCCCAUAUCACGAUAAGUUAUUGCAGUGUGAGCUCAGUUUAAUUAUUGAGUUAAGAGUAGUUUAGUGCUUCGGCAGCAAUCAUGGUAAGCAGCAUGAAUGAGGAGGGCACUGAGAGGAUGGAUCUAUGCAGGUUAGACUUUGGAAAGUACCCCUCAUGUCUUAGUGUGUGGUGAGUUCACUGAUCCACUUCUUUACCUGGAAAAAAAAGGUUUCUCCUGUUAGUCUCCUGCAAUCUAACACAGAUAUUUUUGCUCUUUUAUAACUGUAACUACAUUUCUCUGAGAGUGUACUAUGCGUGUAUGGUUGUAACUAUUCAUAGCGUCUGUGAGUGCAGGCUUUUUUUUUUUUUUUGAAUAGUAAAGUGACUUGAGCCGAAUGCCACCCUGCCGUAAUUCAUAUGGUUUGCUGCCGACUCUGGAAAAAGUCACUUUCUAAAUUAAAAAUCUAAAGUGCUACCUUAAUGAUAAUAGAUGGCUAGUAUGGCUAUCGGGUAACUGCUAAUAAUUAAAUGGCUAAUGGUAACAUGUGCUCCAGCUAGAGCUGAGCGAUAUAAGAUUUUUUCAUAUCACGAUAUGUUUUUUUCAUUUCAGGCGAUAACGAUAUAUAUCACGAUAUAAGCCAAAUAACUAUAUUUGUAAGAUUUAAAUGUGCCGUUGCUCACAAGUAAAAUGUGAAAUAAUCAGCAGCUUGUUUUAAUUAAAAUAUUUAUUUCCCAUAAUAAGUUCAACAGGGUAGAUGUACUUAAGGAACAUGAGACUUCAGUUUCAGAUAAAUAAAGGCAAAUAUUGCAAACUACACAAAACGCAGCUGCUAAAGCGUUUAAGUUUCAAAAUAGAACAAACAAAACAGACAAAACUAAAUUGUCAAUUCCACUUAGAAACAAAAUAUUAAUUCUAAAAAUAAAUCUUAGGUCGUUUUACAGAAGAACAGACAA
rnacentral:lncRNA from 1 species